rnacentral:rRNA from 1 species
UACGGAGGAUCCAAGCGUUAUCCGGAUUUAUUGGGUUUAAAGGGUGCGUAGGUGGCCGCUUAAGUCAGCUUUGAAAGCUGGUCGCUUAACGAUCAGGGGUGGGUUGAUACUGAGCGGCUUGGAUCAGGUGGCGGUUUCUGGAACGGGUCGUGUAGCGGUGAAAUGCAUAGAUAUGACCCAGAACUCCGAUUGCGAAGGCAGGAGCUACGCCUGGACUUGACACUGAGGCACGAGAGCAUGGGGAGCAAACAGGGAUUAGAAACCCCUGUA